rnacentral:rRNA from 1 species
GAUCAUGGCUCAGGAUGAACGCUAGCGACAGGCUUAACACAUGCAAGUCAAGGGGCAUCAUGAGGUAGCAAUACCUUGAUGGCGACCGGCGCACAGGUGAGUAACGCGUAUGCAACCUGCCCGAUACCGGGGUAUAGCCCAUGGAAACGUGGAUUAACACCCCAUAGUACUUUUAUCCUGCCUGGGAUGGGAGUUAAAUGUUCAAGGUAUCGGAUGGGCAUGCGUCCUAUUAGUUAG